GAUGAACGCUGGCGGCGUGCCUAAUACAUGCAAGUCGAGCGAACAGACGAGGAGCUUGCUCCUCUGACGUUAGCGGCGGACGGGUGAGUAACACGUGGAUAACCUACCUAUAAGACUGGGAUAACUUCGGGAAACCGGAGCUAAUACCGGAUAAUAUAUUGAACCGCAUGGUUCAAUAGUGAAAGACGGUUUUGCUGUCACUUAUAGAUGGAUCCGCGCCGCAUUAGCUAGUUGGUAAGGUAACGGCUUACCAAGGCAACGAUGCGUAGCCGACCUGAGAGGGUGAUCAGCCACACUGGAACUGAGACACGGUCCAGACUCCUACGGGAGGCAGCAGUAGGGAAUCUUCCGCAAUGGGCGAAAGCCUGACGGAGCAACGCCGCGUGAAUGAUGAAGGUCUUCGGAUCGUAAAACUCUGUUAUUAGGGAAGAACAAAUGUGUAAGUAACUAUGCACGUCUUGACGGUACCUAAUCAGAAAGCCACGGCUAACUACGUG
rnacentral:rRNA from 1 species